GAGCUCCACCUGCCGGAAGUGGAGCUUUCCUUCCGGUCCUGCUUCCCCAAGCCUGGCUGCAACCGCCCGCCCCUCGGGCCCCUCACGGCCAUGUUUGGGAGUAACUUUUUCCAGAGGCCCCCCCAAAACGGAAGGAGGUGGCCUUCCCUCCCCAGUAUCCCGUCCCGAGGACCAAGGGGAGCCCGGGCUGGACCUGGGACAAAGCACUGCACUACCCCAGGCCGCUCUCCCAACUGAUGGACCAGCAGACCACCGGCCCCUCCCGGAAGUGAUGUCGAGAGCGGGCGCUGCCCCCAAGCCCUUCAGGUCCCAGCAGAAGCUCCCAGUCAGGAAAGAAGAGGAGCGGAAGUGGGCAUGGCCCCGAGCUUGCCGGCGGAUGGGGGGCAGGGCGGGGGCGGGCACAAGGGCUGGGGAGGAGAGGGAGGGCUGGUCCGGGAUACCCAGCACGCCAGAGUCCAGUGGGUUGCUUCCCUAGAUCAGAGCCCAGACUUUUCAGGACGAACAUCCCAGGGAGCCUAGUGGAAGUGGAAGGUAAAGGAUGCCUUCCCUCCCCCUGCCCCGCCCCCCACCCCUCUGGCUCCCGGCUCUUCCAGAGGCCUAACCCGCUCCCGAAUCCCCCCAGGGCAGCGUCACCAUCUGGACCCUCUUCUCUAGUAUUUCCAGGGCUCCAAACCGGUCCAAGAUACUAGGGAGGCUGGGACUGACUGUCAGGCCAGCUGUGUAUGGCCAGGAGGCCCGGCGUGACUCCUCCCCCCCUGCCCUUGCCAGGCUGCCUCACCAUCGGAAACUUCAAGUUCAGGGCCCUCCAGGUCCCAGUCGUGCAGGGCUCCAGUCCAGACCUUGUCCUCCUGGCUGGGCCUCCACGAGGAUUCCAAGAGCUUGUCUUACUCAGGGCCGCUGCAGAGCUCCAACUUCGAAUCUCAAGCGAAUAGUUCCAUGCUCAGUGACCCAUUAGAGCCCCAAGAGUGCCCCCAAGAGUACCCCCAAGACCAGAGGUAUCCCCAAGAGCAGCAGCAUCCCAAAGAGCACCCCCAAGAGUGGCACCAUUCCAAAAAGCUGCAGCUGAAGAAGGCCAUCCAGAAGCCACCAUGCUGGGUCACCAAAGUGUAUAGAUAGUUCCACAAGUUCUGCCCCUCUAGCAAGGGCUCCAAGAAACGCCCUGCCCAGGCCACCUAGCCCACUGCUGGCUCAUGCACACAUCGUACCCCAGGCACAAACACCCCAAAAAGUCUUCCUCCCCCGCCCCUGCCAAGGCCUCCCCUGAGCAGCCUACUGGGAGCCCAAAGAGCAAGAGCUCCACCUCACCCUUCUCCUUACUGCCCAGCAGUGCCUCCUCCCUCAAGUGGGGGAAGCCUCCUUCCUCCCCUUCCACCCAGGCCACACCCUACUCCGGCCUCCUGAAGCCUGGCCAGCCUGGAGAGCUUUCUGCCCAUUGGCUUUAGACCUCCCCGAAGGACUGCCUCCAGGAGUGCUGGUUCCUUGGUGUUGGGGAAAUGCCUCCUCUCCCUGUCAGCUCACUGGAAGAAAAGAAUCAGACACUCGUUUGGAACUGCUGAGGGGCUCGUGGCCCCUGGAUUCACCUAUUAAAGGGCUGUGAAUGAGAACAAA